UUUCUGCCACCGAAUACAUUAGCAUGGGAUAAUGGAAUAGGACCCUGUCCUCCUAUUUUCAGUUGGUUUGCCGCGAGGACCAGGGUAAUGAUUAAUAGGGAUAGUUGGGGGCAUUAAUAUUUAAUUGUCAGAGGUGAAAUUCUUGGAUUUAUGAAAGAUUAACUUCUGCGAAAGCAUCUGCCAAGGAUGUUUUCAUUAAUCAAGAACGAAAGUUAGGGGAUCGAAGACGAUCAGAUACCGUCGUAGUCUUAACCAUAAACGAUGCCGACCAGCGAUUAGGAGACGUUGAAUACAAAACACCACCAUGCGCAUUGCGGUCGUCUUUGGUGUCGCUCACAAGGCGGCACCGGGGCGGCUUAGCUCGCAUGGCACCGGUGAAUGACUCCCUAG
rnacentral:rRNA from 1 species